UACGAAGGGGGCUACCGUUGUUCGGAAUUACUGGGCGUAAAGGGCGCGUAGGCGGUACUUCAAGUCAGGCGUGAAAGCCCCGGGCUCAACCUGGGAACCGCGCUUGAGACGGGAGAACUAGAGUUCGGGAGAGGAUGGUGGAAUUCCCAGUGUAGAGGUGAAAUUCGUAGAUAUUGGGAAGAACACCGAUGGCGAAGGCAGCCAUCUGGACCGACACUGACGCUGAGGCGCGAAAGCGUGGGGAGCAAACAGG
rnacentral:rRNA from 1 species